CCGAGGCAGCCGGCCCUCUGCCCUACCAUGCCAGUGCCCAGCCUGUCUCAGUGGUCUGGCAUCUUCGAUGACAGUGUUGGCAUGUGCAGCAGUAGUGGCUGUUUGUCAUCCUGUUCUGUGGCGCACUUUGUUGAGCUGUGGGUAGCUCUGCUCACGUGGCUCAUGGGUAGAUGUUUCUGUUGGGUUUGUACUAGGAAUGGAGUUGCUGGUGUCAGGAAUGUGGUAGAUGAUGGCAGCUGUAGGAUACAUUGCCACAAGCUGUGUGUGUGGCUCCCAACUGCGAUGUCUCCGAGCUGUGGGCUUCUUGCACCUGUGGCCCCUCUUGCCACCUGUGAGCAGCCGGCAGGAGGAUGUGCAGCUGCUGUCCCUCACAAGACAUUCAGGACACCGCAGCCUUUAUUAGAUUCAUGGGUAAAAAGGAGAGAAUGAGUAGGAAAGGUAAUCAUGGCAGGGAGAACCGAGUUGGUCCUCCCAGUAUAGACAGCAGGCUUCCCCACCCUUCCCUCUUUCCUGCCUGUGCCCCACACAGCCACUCCUGGAGGAGGGACGUGGGGCUGGGCCCAGCUGGGCAGGGCCGGGCCAGGCCAGACAGAUGAGCUUAGGGAGCAAGAACCACAUCAAGUGCAGAGAUGGUGAUAAUUAGAAACAUUUUAAUUCCCAGCCACUUGGCGGCACUCAAGUGUCAGAGUCAUCCAGGGUCAGCCUUUGGGCUUCUCAGCAGGGGCAGAUGAUCACACACUUGGAGGGUCAGUUGGAAUUAGAUGAAGGUUAUUUAUUGGUGUGACUUUUGUCCUGUAGUGAGCUUUCUUUACACAACAUGGUGUAAAUAGCAUCAGAUUGAAUGAAAAGUCUGUUAAAUGCAACCAUAAAUAAUUAUAAUAAAUAUACAUCAAGUAACUUUACAGCACACACUUUUAGGGCCAAGAUUUGGAUCUGUCUGGACCUUGCUGUGCUCUCUGGGAGGAGCAGCUGAGCUAGCAGCAGAUACCGCAUCUCACUCACAGCUGGCCCGCUAUCACAUGAUGGCCCACCAAAGCUUCAUGAACCCCUCGGGAGGUGGCCCACAGAAUCCCAAGUCCAUUCACAGGUUGAGGGUUUUCGGGGAACCAGGAAUUUAAGGAUACAGGGAGGAAAACCACUUACAGUGGAUUCAAAGGCUCUUUCAUUAUGCACAAAAAGGAAUCAGAGGAUCCUGGUUUUCAGGAACACAGUCUGACGUGACCCCCAUCAAGGGGGCUGUAGCCCCGGGGAAGCAGCCGUGACCAUCUUCCUUUCAGAGGAGGGGACUUGCUUCUGGCGCUUGCCUGCAGAGUGACUCCAGCACC
rnacentral:lncRNA from 1 species